rnacentral:lncRNA from 1 species
GCUGAGACUUUAUAGGAUGAUCCACUGUUCAAUAAGGACUACUGAUAAUGAAAAGGAAAUACUAGCUAUGUGGCAUGUGAAGGAAAUAUCUUCUGCCUUGAUGUUCGCUGGCAAUCCACAGAAGCAUUCGCUGAUGAAGACUGUGCUGCAAGAUGCAAAACUAAGACAAUUCAGAUAAAAGUUCAUGAACAGCAAGGUUUGUGAAUUCAAGUCCCAGAAGUUUUAAGGUAAAAUUCACAGCAAGGACAGCUUCUACAUGAACAGGUGACCCUUCAACGAGAAGCAUGCUGGCCACGAACUCUACAAGAAGUGCCUCCAGACUCUGUGCAGAGUCAGGAACCAGUAGGGAGAGGAAAACCUGUAAGGACUUCAGUGGAUUUCAUUUAUCAGAUAUAAAAUUUAGAUCGAUUACAGAACAGCCUUUGUACCAAGUUUAGAGCAGUAUUUUUAAAACUCCCCAUCACCAAAUUCCUCUAAUGACCGAACUUGAACAUCUAUUCCCCAGGAAUCUAGGUACACCUUAAAUGGCCUACUAUGUAUAUGAAAUACCUUUGUAGUCUUUUCAUCUUAGAACUGUAUGGCAAUUUUUAUUUUUAUCCCAUAAUACAACAGUUUAAUGUUUUGCAAGAAUUUCACCUCCCUACAAGUUUCUAAUAAGACUGAAGCUCAGAGAACGUAUACCAUGUUAUACGGAGGCAUUACAUCCACCUGGGGCUUUUGUGGUUGUAAACAACCAAAAUUGAGAGGGCCAAGCCAGUAAGUUGAUAACAGCUUGUCUCUCACUUGCAGUUUCCACAUUUCUCUACCACCCAUUCCCAUCAUUUAUAAAACCCUAUGGAUCCUUCAAGUAUAAUAUUGUUGUCUUCCAUCCUUCCUUUUAGAUCUCCAAGACCACAACCCCAGUUCAAGUUCUCUCUUGCCUCACUCCUGUGAAUCUUGCCUAAGCCCUUUGAGCACAAUGUUCAGUCUCCUCCAUUUCAAAUUUAUCUUCCUAAAGCAGAGCCAAAAACGUUGCUCUUCCAACUAAACAUUUUCCUUGGGUACCUAAUGCCUAAAACGUACGAAAAAAUUCCUAAAUUCCCAAGGUUCUACUAUGGAAGUCUGAUAAAUUGGAAAGAGGAUGGGCUCUUGGAGUCAGAGGCCUUAAAUCUAAAGCUCUGCUCUUCUGCUGACUAACCAAGUAACCACACAACAUACUUUCCCCUUAGUAGCUAUAAAUUUCUCAACAGUUAACAAAAAGGCAGGGGAGAGAUCAUAUAUAUAUAUAUUUGCCUCAUACUGUGGUUAUAUGAUUAGAAAUAAUAUAUGUAGAGGACCUACACAUAAUCGGAUCACAACAUGUACUCAAUAAAUGGUAACAACUACUACUACUGCUCCUGCUAUGAUAUCUACUAUAGCUACUAUUACUACUACUACUUUUUAAAAAUUUGAUUCCAAUCAACUUUUAAAAUCUUUUCUCCCACUAUUUGCCCUCAUUUCUAAUAUUCUGGCAAAACUUAAUUCACUUUCUGGGAUAUAUUUAAACUUUCUAAUUUUCUUCUACAUUCAUAGCCUCAAUCUUCACCCAUAAUUGAAGUCAACAGAUCAAAAACUAUCUUGCCCACAAAGCUGAUCAUCUCUAUUGAAGCUAUUCUUGUGGCUCCUUGCCUUUCAGUGUUGCAAUUUCCAUACCUGUUUUAUUUGUUGACCCACUCUGUGGGCUGCCUAGGAAUAGUGACUCUGUCUAACACACUCUUGUUUCUCCUAGAGUAGCUUAUACAACUUAGGAAUUUGAGUAGUACUUGUUGACUAAAGAUUAUCUUCUGUAGAUUACAUCUCUACUCCUUCUGUCAUGUGAAACAAAAGCAUAGACCAUUACUUCUAAAAUCAACCUUUGAGCACAAACUUUCCAUCAAAUUAAAAGGACCUGAAGGUUUUUCCAUCUGUCCCUGAGUGUCAAGUUAGUACAGGGCCAGGAGCAUAUAGCAUGGCUCCUGUCUUCCUCCCUAGUGUUUUCAUGAUGCCAUCCUGCAUCCUAGCUGUCUCCCCACAGGAUGAGUGAAUCAGGAGUCAUCUGUGCUAUCUGAGAAAACAGUGACUGCUACACCUCCAUCAUAACUAGUAGCAAACCUGAUUAGUAAGGUAUAGAUUUCUUUCUCGCUUGCUCUUGCUUUGUGUGUGUGUGUGUGUGUGUGUGUGUUUGUGUGUGUGUGUGUAUGUGUGUGUAUUAAAAAGUUUUCAUGGCUGGGUGCAGUGGCUCACGCCUGUAAUCCCAGCACUUUGGGAGGCCAAGGUGGGUGGAUCACGAGGUCAGGAGAUUGAGACCAUCCUGGCUAACACGGUGGAACCCUGUCUCUACUAAAAAUACAAAAAUUAGCUGUGCGUGGUGGUGGGCGCCUAUAGUCCCAGCUACUCGGGAGGCUGAGGCAGGAGAAUGGCGUGAGCCCGGGAGGCGGAGCUUGCAGUGAGCCAAGAUCACACCACUGCACUCCAGCCUAGGUGACAGAGUGAGACUCCGCCUCAAAAAAAAAAAAGUUUUCAUUAUGGGCCACGCACAAUGGCUCAUGCCUAUAAUCCCAGCACUUUGGGAAGCCAAGGCAGGUGGAUCACUUGAGGUCAGGAGUUCAAGACCAGCCUGACCAACAUGGUGAAACCCCAUCUCUACUAAAAAUACAAAAAUUAGCUGGGCAUGGUGGUGCCCGCCUACAAUCCCAGCUACUCGGGAGGCUGAGGCAGGAGAAUCACUUGAAUGCAGGAGGUGAAGGUUGCAGUGAGCCAAGAUCAAACCACUGCACUCCAGCCUGGGCGACAGAGCUAAAAAAGAAAAAAGUUUUUUAAUAUGGAAAUUUUUAAACAUCCAGAAAAGUGAAGUGAGAAAUAAAAUUCCAUGACCUCUUACCAAGCUUCAACAAUUAUCAAAAUUUUGCUAGUUCCUACUUUUUUAUAAAAUUUUGUCAUUCUCCACUUUCUUUUGCAAAAUGAAAAACAUUUGGACAUUUAUUUCUCAAAAUUGUACACAUUGAUAGAAUUAUGUUAAAUGCACACAUAUAUUGAAAAAUAAAGAGUCAUUAGAAGGCAAAAUUCCUACAUGUUAAGCAAAGUUCUGUUUGGUUCCUUUCUUUUUUCUGUUUAGGGUGAAUGCUUUAUAAUAAGUAUGUUCUAGUUCAAUGAUGGAAAUAUAAAGUAAGAAACGAAGGUGAACUAUGGAAGCAAAUCCUAAAGGACUCUCUCUGUAAACUCACAUUGCAGCUCUCCUCGUUGUCAGGCCGGUGAGGCAGGAUGAAGGAGGACACAGAGAGAGGGCCGUCACACUUGUCGGCAGGCUGAGUGAAAUCCAGACAGCUGGUGAUGAUGCUGUAGUAGUGAGUUGGAACAGGAAUGGAACUGCCUUCCACGUACCUGAAACAGGAAGGUAAAACGAAGUCACAGUUGAUGAGUUGAUGUUGAAGCUUUCUUUUUUAAAUGGUGAUCAAUGAAUAUUGCCUAAGUCACUAAAAUUAAUCCCCAUUCAAUUGAAUCAUUUUUCACUUCUAAGCACUAGCCCACUUCUAUGUCUUUGAAAAUAAUGUUUUCUUUGCCUGGAAUCCCCUCACUCCUCAACCUGGCAGAGUAAGAAAGAUAUUCCAGGCAAAGAAAAUGGAUUGAUCUAAGAAUUGGAGACAGGUAAUGGUGAAUAGACCAAUGCAGUAGAAAUGAAAGGCUGGAAGCGUCAAUAAAAGCCAAAUUAUGGUGGGUUCUGAGUGCCAGGAUAUGGACUGGGGCAUUAUUAUUUAGGUAGUAAUGCUCCAUUAAAGGUUUUUGUGCUAGGGAGUGUCAUUCAUUAUUAGUUCCAUGUUUCAGGAAGAUAACUUUCCUAGAGUUGUAUAAAAUGGACAGGGGCAAGAGACAUUAGAGCCAGGAGAAUAAUGACCCUUUCAAGCUACAAUGAGAUGCAGAACUUGAUACAAAGAACUCAUUUGCCAAAGGAAGUACUAAGGACCGAGUGCUAAUGAUGGACCUAGAGGUAUAAAAAAUAUUUUCCUGUAGAGAUCAGUACAGAAAUUCAUAAUUCCUUGCCUGGUUUUCUAUUAUCUUAAUUUUAUUCAUUUUCCAAAUAUUAAAAUUACGAUUUAACUACUAAUUUAAUUUUGGCUAACAGUGAUCAGCAAUAAAAUAAAUGUGCAAUUUACACAAAAUUUCUCUUCAGAAUGACUGGAAAAGAAGUAAGAUAAUUUCUAUCUUAUUUAUCUGUAUUUAUAAAAUAGCAAUUUAUUCUGUAAUUAUCUCUAAAUCACAAUUAAACCCUCUUAUACUCUGGGCUGCUGAUUGUUUCAUGCUUGUAUAAAAUUAAAUAACAACAUUCUGAAUUUGUCAACAAAUUUGUUGACAAAUUCAGAAUGUUGUUAUUUAAUUUUAUACAAUGAAAAUACAUCCCAAUCACUCUAAAUCUUGCUUUCUCCACUAGACUGUGGGGUCCCUUAUGAGCACAGAUAAUGGCUUUUAUAUGCCCAACAGCACCAAAGAGACAGAGACAACCAGAUUCAAUCCAAGUCCAUAGGCACUUUGCUACUGAGAGGUACUGACUCAGAAAAUCUAAGGGAUUCUUAAGUCCCACCCAAAUAAUGAAGAUAAGUGGGAAUGGUCAUCUUCCCAUUGAAGAGCUGUUGAAGAAAUGACUAAACAAAAUUAAAUCCUUUAAUACAUUUUUUUCAUAGAAUAAAAAAGUGCAUUUAUUUACCACAAAACCCAAAAUUCCAUUCCCACCACCAAUGCCCAUUUAAUCAAAAGAAUUGAUAAAUUCAGGCUGGGCACAGUGGCUCACACCUGGAAUCCCAGAACUUUGGGAGGCCGAGGAGGGUAGAACACUUGAGGUCAGGAGUUCAAGACCAGCCUGGCCAACAUGGUGAAACCCCGUCUCUGCUAAAAAUACAAAAAUUAGCUGGAUGUGGUGGUGCAUGCCUGUAAUCCCAGUUACUCAGGAGGCUGAAGCAGGAGAAUCACUUGAACCCAGGAGGCGGAGGUUGCAGUGAGCCGAGAUCACAUCACUGCAGUCCAGCCUGGGCAACAGAGCAAGACGCCGUCUCAAAAAAAUAUAUAUAUAUAUAUAUUGAAAAAUUCAAAAAACUUAAGGGGUGUCAUCUCUUCUCUAGUAUAUGAAUAUUUGAAAAACUUCUUGAGUGAGAUCUUGGGACUUAAAAAUCACACACUGAGUAGAAAUGAAACGCUUACUGUUUUAUUUUGUCUUCUGUGUCAUGUAAGCCAUCAUAGUCAUAGUCGAAGAUUGGUCCACUUAUCACGUUAACUCCAUUUCUUUCCGAAGCAUAUUUCUUCACCAAUACCCUUUGGAAAUAAUUCCAGACCCCUGUGCAAAGACAAAAAUCCAAAAAUCAAUUAUUCAUGAAGAAAACUCCUUACUCUAGCCAAAUUCUCUCUAGGAUGCAUGCUACGAGCCAAAUCUCACAAGCCAAGAGACAAGAGAGCUGUCGUGAUUCAUGAGAUGAAUCAAUUCUAUGGCAUUACCAGUGUGUGUGUCAUUUACAAACCAGCAAAGGGAACAGUGUAGAGCUAUGAAACAAUGGUAGGGGAGUUUAACGUAGUUCAAAAGUCAGGAAAGGAUCCUCCCAAGCUGAGAUCUGAAGCAUGGAUAAGUAGGUGGUGUUUCCCAGGCAGAACACGCCAGGCAGAGGGAACAGAAUGUGCAAAAGAGGAAGUAUGGUGUUUCAGAGUAAUGAAAAUAAGGCCUUACUCUUUCUUCUCGUCCUUCAUAUCUCAUCAAUAUGCUAGUUCCCAGGUUUAAGCUUUACCCCUGACCUUUCCUGGAGAUCCAGACAUGUUAUCCAACCACCUACCUCCUAAUGCACUGGAAUACCUAAUAUUCAUGUCAAGCAAAAGAAUUUUAAUGUUCCUUCCUAAUCCUGCCCCAACCCUCGCCUUCUCCAUCAUAAUCAAUGGCUCUGGCACUCACCCAGGUGUUUGGGCCAAAAGCCUAAGAGUCAUCCUUGCUUUCUCUCCUAGCUAUAGACACAUGUGAACAAUUCCUGUCAGUGCUAUCACCAAAGUACAUCCCAAUUAUCCCAAAUUUGACCACCUCUCAUCUUUUCACUGCUCUAUCCUGGUCUAACUUACCAUCCUCUCUGAGUGAGCUAUCACACCACAAAAGACUAUUCCCUGGGUUCCCUGUGAAAUGCUUACUUCCCUUGUACCUUGUAGCCCACUCCCCCAUAUCGUAGCCAGACGGAGCCUUUUACACCAUAAGUCAGACUGUAUCUUUCUCUUGCACGCACAUGCACACACACACACACACCACCCAUUUCCAACACUCCAGAUUAUUUUUCAUUGUAAUUAGAGUGAAAUCCCAACUCCCCACCAUGGUCUUUGCCUACCUCUGUGACUUUACUUCCUACCCCUUUCCCUAUCACUCGCAAGACUUUCUUCCUGUCCCCUGACUUUUCCCCUAACUUAUUUCAGGCUAAGCUUUUGCACUUGCUCUUUCCUUCGUUUGAAAAACAUUCCUGGAUCUGUGCAUGUCUGCUUUCUCCUCUAUAAUUCUUUCUCACUUUCACUGUCAUCCCCUGCAGAGAACUGCCUUAUCCUCCUGCUUCUAAUUUCCAUAAUGGCCAACCAGAGGGGCAGAAUGGAAAUGGAGAAAAACAAGAGAAUAACAGAAGGAGACAGGAUAGGCAAGCAAUGGGUUGGUUCUGAAAUAUUAGAUCGAAUUCGCCAUGCUGUCUUCAACAUGGGUGUCAUGCGGUUCUGGCUGUUAACCCCUCUUCCCUCCCCUUAUUAAAAAGCACCUGGCCAUGCUUCUCAUACUGCUUCAAUUGCUCUUCCUGCCUUCUGAAACUCUGAAUGGCAGAGCAGCCCACAAGAGCCAAAAUACCUUAGAUAAUUAUUUGCAGUCAAGAAAGAAGCCAGACAGUAAGAAAGGAGUUCAAACGUUAACUUAAGCAUUAAGAAAAAAUGGAGAGGAAGAGAAGGAAAGAAACAAUGAGAACAGUCAAAAGGCCAGGCCUGCAGAAAUGUGGCAUGUGAAAAAACCACCCCCCUCGUGGAGAACAGCAAGCUCUCUAUGAAAGGCCUUCUCCACACCAGCCUCAGGGUGGUACUGUGUGUUGCCUUGAUUACCAUUUGGUCAAAAAAACACAUCAAUAAAGAAUAAAGAAAUCCAGAGAACCCUGAUUUGCAGAAAUUAAAUGAAGCUGCAUUCUAUGUAAUAUUGUGAUAAAUGUAACUAUGUGAGUUUCUGAAAUGCUUCUCAGUUGGGUCUGAGAACAAACCAAGAAAUCUUUUUAAAAGCAUACUUUAAUUUUUCACUCAUAAGCAAUAAAUUCUCUUUGAAUAAACCUUCGUUUACUAACUAGGACAUCAAAUAAACAUUUUUUUCUCUAAACCGUGUGGCCCUUUUCACCAAUGUUAAGCUGCGGAGGCCCGCCACUGUAGCUGACACUCCACAAUCGCCCAUUCCUAUUUUGAGACUCCCUUUCAGCCCUGAGAGUUACAUAACACAGCCUGAACCUCCUCCAUCAAGUUGAAGCACAUAGAGGUGCUUCCUUUUCCUACCUUUCCCAUAACGAUUUAAGUUCUGUUCACUACAAAUGUACUGAAAGGUGGUAAAAGCUACUUCAUAAUGCUUACUCUAUCUUUGAACACAUGGAUAGAUAAAAGGAUGGAUGGGUGGACAGGGGGAUGGAUGGAUGAAUGAGGAUGGAGACAUAGAUGAAUAGUUAACAGAAACAAAAAAUGCAGUGCUUUCGACAUUGGAUAAUUAAGUCAGAAAUCCAUAUAAACCUUAGAGGUCAUGCAAUCAUAUCUCUUAAUUUCACAAAUGAGAGAUUUAAUGACAUUUCUAUGAUCACACAGCCUGUGGUCACACUCCAGGAACUUGGCUUUUUGUGCCCGAGCUCAUUGUGCCUAUACAAUUCUUGACUUCACCAGCAUCCACAAAUAUUUAUGUCAGGUACAAAGAAAUUACAAAUGUUCAAAGAAACUAAAAUAAUUGGUACAGGACUAAAAUCAUCUGAAAUAAACACUCUGAUGAUUCAGAAGGUCCUUUCGGCUCUUGCUGGGUUUCAGGGCCAACAUUCAGAAAAUGUUAUCACCCCAAGAGGAAGAGGUGCUACUGGCUUUUACUGCAAUGCUCAACAAAUAAAUAUAGAUGCUGUUAAAUAUCAAGUGGCUUUCAAAAUAUAGUGAAGACCCUUUUUAACCAUUAAGAUAAUAAGUAUUGAAAUAAAAAUAACAACCAUAUUAGAAGAAAAACACAAACUUGGGUUAGUUCAGUUUCUACCAUGCAUGACCUGUGGUCACUUUCUGUGAUAUCAAUUUCUUAAUUAUAAACCGGGGAUAAACUACCAGCCAACCUUCCUCACAGAUUCAAAUUUUGGAUCAAUGUAGAAAGUUUACAUGAAAUCAAAGUUUACAUCAAUGUAGAAAGUUUACAUGAAAGAUCCUCAAAAAUUAUAAAGGUUAAACACAUGAAAAGUAUUCUUAUUAAAAUUAACAGAGGUAGAAAAGGUAAGGGGUAAAUUUAGAAAUGUUUAUUUUCAUAAAUAACAGUGUAUUAGGUAAAUAUUGGACUUACGUUUGAAAGCAGGAUACAUUGGAACCAUAUUGGUUACAAGGAAUGCAUCAUAUUUAGCCUCUGGUGAAGAGCUCAGAUCUAAACAUUAGGAAAACAAAUAGUAUACGUUGCUUACCAAAAUCUAUAUCAGUUAAAAAAAAAAGGGAGAGGGG